rnacentral:rRNA from 1 species
UACGGAGGGUGCGAGCGUUGUCCGGAAUUACUGGGCGUAAAGGGCGCGUAGGCGGCCUCGUCCGUCCGGCGUGAAAUGCCUGGGCUUAACCUAGGAAUUGCGCUCGAUACAGCGAGGCUAGAGUGUGGGAGAGGUUGGUGGAAUUCCCAGUGUAGAGGUGAAAUUCGUAGAUAUUGGGAAGAACACCGGUGGCGAAGGCGGUGGUCUGGGCCGGUACUGACGCUGAGGAGCGAAAGCGUGGGGAGCGAACAGG